UCUAACGCCGAUCCUCUCCUCACCCGACCCGAGUCUUCUUCCUCCUUCCCCAAACUCCCCUCCUUCCGCUCGUCUCUUCUCCGAUGCGACGCUGAGGCCGGAUCGGACAUCGAUGCCACCAGGGAAUUGAUCGCCGACGAGGGUCUUCUACUGGAGUUCUGAGAGAGAGGGGCUAGCUUCAUCGGAGCUUUCUUCUUGCGGACCCGUGCCCUAGAUCGCCGGAGGAGCUCGUUGCUGGAGGUUGUCGGAGACAGAACCAGGAGGCUCGGAUCAUCCCGAUCUAUUAUUCUCAGGUCUUCCCUGAGCUUUCCUCCCUGUUCUGUCGAUUCUUUCUUCCCCGAUUCGACGCCACUGGGUCGAGUCUUUGCCAUCCGAUCGCCGGCGUGAAGGGACCAUUAGGGGUUUCGAGGUGAGGAGGAAUUCUGGGGAGGUCUUGAUGAGGUGUUCUUGAGCUGUUGGGCAGAGGCUAGAAGGUGGGCUUGAUUAGUCAUCUGCUUGCUUGAGUCCUUGAUCCGGUUGAUUUCAACAAGUUGGUAUUCUGUGGAUCCGUAGUUCUAUUUUUGUGGAGUUUUUCUUUAGCUCCAGCAGCAGCUACCCUUCUUGGCAGCAUCAUUUCUUUGUGUGGAUCAACAGGACAGUGCUAGGAAUUGAGGUGGUUGUUCUGUGAAGGUGAUCUUGGUUUCCAGCAAAGCUUGCUGUGGGUUUUCUGAUCCAGCAAGAAAAUCCCCCCUCAUUGUGCUGUUGAUAAGGUUUUGAAUCAGUGAGGACUCUGAUUCGAGACGGGCGUCUCGACCUUGGAUUGCUUGAUUGUACCUUCUAUUUGAGG